rnacentral:rRNA from 1 species
UACGUAGGGUGCGAGCGCUAAUCGGAAUUACUGGGCGUAAAGCGUGCGCAGGCGGCGCGUUAAGACAGGUGUGAAAGCCCCGAGCUUAACUUGGGAAUUGCGCUUGUGACUGGCGUGCUGGAGUGUGGCAGAGGGAGGUGGAAUUCCACGUGUAGCAGUGAAAUGCGUAGAGAUGUGGAGGAACACCGAUGGCGAAGGCAGCCUCCUGGGCCAGCACUGACGCUCAUGCACGAAAGCAUGGGGAGCAAACAGG